ACUCCGGUUCAGUGAUUCUGCACUUGCUCUAUUACCAUAGUACUAUACCGCCUUCAAAUUUUAUGAACGACUGGGUGUUUAAGGUUAGCCAUUUGUCGUAUUAUCUGGCUGUAUAGCAAAUGAACAAAUACUAUUACAGUACUUUACUACGCAAGAUAAAAACGCACGUGUUUAAAAAUGUAUCUGUUUUUUUUUUAUGUAGGGCCCCUUUAUAACAUCAUGCUACAGGCCCCGCACUCGCUUCAUCCGGCACUGCUCGGAGUCGGCGUUAUUGGUGAAGACACGGUGUGUGUAAGUGAGGGGACGGUGACUCCGAUGCGUGAAACCGGACGAGUGGGAUCCACAUUCUUCUGGCCCAGCAGGGCGUGAGAGGCAUCUUUAAACACAAAGGUGCGUGACGUCAUUUGUGGACGGCCCCUCACCACGCACGCGACGGUGCCCGGCGUGGCGGGGAGAGUGUGUACACAGGAGGCGCACGCGAGUACGGGGAGGAGUCAUCGUUGCCGUGGGUUCACUCUCCGACACACCAACCGGUGGUGCUGAACUCGUCACGACUUGGCACGUUCUGAUUACGUGGCAAACCUCACUAACUGGCUGUGUCGGGUGGUGGCGGGGUUUAACGACACAUUUACGCGAUCUAACCCCAGAAAUCACACCUGUAUUAUGUACGUAGGAGUAUGUAGGAGUGUGUACUUGAGUACACACCGUAGCAGCCGGACGUGUGAGGCGCAGCGCUGCGUUGAUGAUGGUACUGCGACCCAGCUGAGAUUUCGUGGCCACGCGUAAUAUCGGUGGCAAUCAUCUAGAACUGGUGCCCGGGGGGCCUCUUGCUCGGUCAAAUUGGCCUUCAGUGAAUGUGCCAGUGUGCGUUGUGUGAAGAGCAAGUUGGCAUAGUAGGGGGCACAGGUGGUGCAUCGGCCAGUUAUCUCAGUCGACCCGCGGCGCCUGGGUCUGCUCCGUAACCUCCUGCCAGCGGGCGUUCGACACUUCAUGUGGCU